rnacentral:lncRNA from 1 species
CAGCACCUGCCACAUAGAGGUGAAUGUCACAGAGCACCUGCCACAUAGAGGUGAAUAUCAGGGAGCACCUGCCACAUAGAGGUGAAUAUCCGAGUGCCUGUCACAUAGAGGUGCAUAUCAUAGAGCAGCUGCCACAUAGAGAGUUCCUUAGUUCUAAGAAAUCAAAACCAAGCUUCAUCUAAAGAUAAAACAGAGUUUACUAGAAAGAAAGACAAGACUCACAGCAUCAACCAGAGAUUUUAAAACAAGGAUUAGAAAAUAUUAAGGAACCACAGGACACGCAAAAGUUGUGUUUCAGGAAUAUUUUGGCCAGCUACUACUGCCGCAAAACUCAAAAGAUAACCAUGCCUGCUACUGCUGCCUAUGUGAAUGCCAUUGGAUCCUUCCUCUUUGUGUCAUCUGCUCAAGAUAAAGUCCUUGGUGAGAGAAUCUGAUGAGCCAAACCUAGCUCAUGUGCACUUGACCCAGCACGCAGGCAACGUGGAGAAGGAAUUCUGUUCUGCCCUUCGGCCUUUCACCAUGGGAGGUUGCAGCACGAAGGCCCUCACCAGAUGCUGACACCAUCCUCCUGGACUUCACCUCUGGAAUCCUUUCUCUGCCUCUUCAUACAUGGCUGACAGGAUGCCUUCCACUGUUUCCCAGUUCUAAUGUCCCGAUGAGCUCACUACCAUCCCUGCAUCCCAGUUCCAAAUUCUCAGGUGAGAACAUCUGACUGGGUGACAC